AGGGGUGCGGGAGGAAGGCAGGGGCUGGAGGGGCUGUAUGAGGAGCUGGGGGCCCCCAUCCUGGCCGUGACAUAUGGCUGGUUCUGAUGCUUUGUUCUGUCUGCAGGGAAGAAGGAGAAGGGCUACAAUGUGGCACCAGGUGAGUGACAGUGGCAGCAAUGUCCCCAGCGUCUGCCCAUCACUGGGGUAGUCUUGGGACUCUGGUUUUUCUUGGGGCUCCCAGCACAGCAGUGCCGUGUUCCACUUAUGGUGCUGCCACCCUUCCUGUACCAGCUCCUGGGCUGGGGGUCACAACCACUCCUCUCUUGCAGGCAGUGAUGGGGGAUCCAACAGCUCAAACAGAGGUACAGAAUGAGGCUGUGGGUUAAGGCAGAAACCCCAGGGAGGUUUUGGGGUCCCGGCUUUUCAUGUCCGCUUGUGCCAGCCACACACAGGGUGUUGCUGUGCCCAACUGCUCUGUGGCUUCCCUUGGGAAACUCUCAGAGUAGAAGGUUUAUGAUGAAGAUCCGUCACCAUAUCACGCUGUCUCUUUUUGUCCCUGCAGGGAGCAACCCCAGUGUCUAACCGCUCUACUUCAGCCCCUGAGGUACCAGAAGACCCCCUGUGCACUAUGUGCUGCAGCUGGAUAUGGACCCGUUCCAUCAACCUCUCGCAUCUCCAAUCAGCUACCUCAAGAGCAAAGCCAGAGCACAAUUGGCUAUGCACACCUUCAAACAAAGGAAACAGUCCAAUGAUUUGCUCAUUUCUAUAAAGUGUGCCUAGUAUCUGAUAUGGAGUUGUGGGUGGGAGCGGGUGCGCAAGGUGCUCCUAUCCUGGCCUGGUGGGUCAGGUUUGCCCAGAGAAGCUGCAUGGGGAAUUUGAGGAGGCAUCGAUGGAAACUGGGAGCUGCAUGCAGAAAGAGCUCAGCACAGUGAGCCUAUGUGUCAGUACAGGAGGUUCCUCUUCUCUCUGGGUGAAUUCAUUGUUUGCCAGGACUGGUCACGAGAAAGAGAACCACAAAGGGGCUGGGGUUGGAUGGGAGCCACAAGGAUCACUGGGUCCAAAUCCUGGGUCCUCAAAGGAAAACCCAAAAAAUCAGACCCUGUGUCUGAGAGUGUUUGCCAACUGCUUGAACUCUGGUAGGCACGAUGCUGUGAUAUGUCCCCUGUGGAGCGUGUUCCAGUGCCUGACCACCCUGUCAGUGAAGAACCUUUUUGUGAUAUCAAUCCUGAACCAUCCCGGUUGCAGCUUCAAGCCAUCUCCUCAGGUCCUAAUCGCUGGUAGCCCCAUUACCAGUGCAGCUGGAAGGCAUGCCCCGCUGCUGUAAGCCUGUGCCUUGGUGAUGGUGGUUCUGCAGAGAGCUGACAAAGAACGGAGGCUGGUUAAGAAGACAGGAUGGAUGAAGAGUUAGGGAAGAAAGCAAGGCAGGUACUCUGGCUUCAAGAACUGACCCAGUAACUGUGCACAGACCAAGGUAAGAAAUAGGAAGCAUUGCCUUGGGGGUCAGGCAAGACUUUUGUGUGAAGUGAGUGUGGAGCCCUGAUCCAUGGUCCCAUAGGUCCACGAGGGGCACAGCCGGAGUUGGUUGAAGCAAGAGUAGAAGUGAGAAAGGAAGAGUCUCAGGGAAAUCUGGAGUAUGGAGCUCCCUUACACAGUAAAGAGCUCAGCAGUACACCGGGGAAUCUGGUUAACCCGUUAGUUAAGCCGGAAGCCCGGUCCCCGCACCGCCCGCAGUGCUUUCACUUUCGCUUCUGGCAACCUGCGGUACCGAGAUCUACCCGGCGCCCGGUGACGUCACGAGAAUACCGGUUACUCAUUGGUAGACGCGCAGGGGAGCCCCCAAUUGUGUCGCGGGGCGGAGCUGGAGACGCGGGAUGCCUUUGAGCUCCGGAGGCAGCUCGGGGCUCAG
rnacentral:lncRNA from 1 species